UAGGUUGCAAUGUUGGGUUUCUGCUCGGA
rnacentral:piRNA from 1 species